UGGAAGUAAAAGUCGUAACAAGGUUUCCGUAGGUGAACCUGCGGAAGGAUCAUUAACCGUUACAAACAGUGUGUGCUGCGGCCCCCGAGGUGAGGCAACGAGCCUUCGGGAGGUCUGGGGUCCGCCCCUUCACGCGCACGCGUCUGCCAUCCUUACUUUACGAGCACCUUCUGUUCUCCCUCGGCAUGCGUCCUGCGCUGCCGUUGGAAUUACAAAACUCUUUUUUGCAUCUAGCAUUACCUGUUCCGACAAUAACAAUCGUUACAACUUUCAACAAUGGAUCUCUUGGCUCUGGCAUCGAUGAAGAACGCAGCGAAAUGCGAUAAGUAGUGUGAAUUGCAGAAUUCAGUGAAUCAUCGAAUCUUUGAACGCACAUUGCGCCCCUCGGUAUUCCGUGGGGCAUGCCUGUUCGAGCGUCAUCUACACCCUCAAGCUCUGCUUGGUGUUGGGCGUCUGUCCCGCCUCGGCGCGCGGACUCGCCCCAAAUGCAUUGGCAGCGGUCUUUGCCUCCUCUCGCGCAGCACAUUGCGCUUCUCGAGGUGUCGCGGACACGCGUCCAGUAAGCAACAUUUUACCGUCUUUGACCUCGGAUCAGGUAGGGAUACCCGCUGAACUUAAGCAUAUCAAUAAGCGGAGGA
rnacentral:rRNA from 1 species